GAUGAAGAACGCAGCGAAAUGCGAUAAGUAGUGUGAAUUGCAGAAUUCAGUGAAUCAUCGAAUCUUUGAACGCACAUUGCGCCUUCUAGUAUUCUGGGAGGCAUGCCUGUUUGAGCGUCAUUAGACCUCUCUCAAGUAUGAUUACUUGGAUGUGAAGGAAGAGUACCUUAAACUUAAGGAGUGUUCUCCUUUGAAAUUGAUUAGCAGAUGGUAAUGUUAUUAAAUCCCUGAUGUUGUAAGAAAUAACAGUGGUUUUGUAGACUAUUAUCUAGCUUUAAAUUAUAAUUUUUAUUAUGGUUGACCUCAAAUCAGGUAAGGAUACCCGCUGAACUUAAGCAUAUCAAUAAGCGGAGGA
rnacentral:misc_RNA from 1 species